rnacentral:rRNA from 1 species
ACAGAACUAGCUUGCUAGUUGCUGACGAGUGGCGGACGGGUGAGUAAUGUAUAGGAACUUGCCUAGUAGUGGGGGACAACGUGUGGAAACGCACGCUAAUACCGCAUAAGCUCUACGGAGGAAAACGGGGGAUCUUCGGACCUCGUGCUACUAGAUGGGCCUAUAUUGGAUUAGCUAGUUGGUAAGGUAAAGGCUUACCAAGGCGACGAUCCAUAGCUGGUUUGAGAGAAUGAUCAGCCACACUGGGACUGAGACACGGCCCAGACUCCUACGGGAGGCAGCAGUGGGGAAUAUUGCACAAUGGAGGAAACUCUGAUGCAGCAAUGCCGCGUGUGUGAAGAAGGCCUUAGGGUUGUAAAGCACUUUCAGACGUGAGGAAAAGUUAUCUAUUAAUACUAGAUAGCCCUGACGUUAACGUCAGAAGAAGCACCGGCUAACUCCGUGCCAGCAGCCGCGGUAAUACGGAGGGUGCAAGCGUUAAUCGGAAUUACUGGGCGUAAAGCGCGCGUAGGCGGUUAAAUAAGUCAGAUGUGAAAUCCCUGGGCUCAACCUAGGAACUGCAUUUGAAACUGUUUGGCUAGAGUAUGGUAGAGGUGAGUGGAAUUUCAGGUGUAGCGGUGAAAUGCGUAGAGAUCUGAAGGAACAUCAGUGGCGAAGGCGACUCACUGGGCCAUUACUGACGCUGAGGUGCGAAAGCGUGG